UGAAAAAAGUUCAAUCCUCUUUUAUGUUUUGCAUAUGAUUGAAAUUACAGUGUCAAUAUUUAGGAGUCUGGCCCAAUACUUGUUCAAGCUAGUGGGCAAAUAAUGGGCCUGGUCCGAGUUCUAUUCGGGCCUUUAGGGACCACAUCAGAAGAUUAACACCACGUCAGCUCGCGCGUGAACUCCACGGCAUCAAAUUCGACCCGGAUCCGACUCCAAUAGGCCCGGCUUCAGUUUUCACAACUUUGUAGUUGCACCUGAAGAGAUUGCUUAUUGCCCCGUCGAAACAGAGCCGAUUGGUGUAGAAGAUUAGAGGAAGAAGACGAUGGCAAUGGCAGAAACAGUAACGAUAAUCCAAAUAGCGUAAAUGCGUAAUGUCCGAAUCGUAGUUUAUUCUCAAUCAGUAGCUAAAAUCGGUGUUUCUGUUGAUCCACUCCUCUCCGAGGACUCGUCCUGUCUUCAAGGUAGGAUUCUAUAGAGAAUGAUGGCAGAAGAGUCAACAGCAUGUGUCUGGCAUGGCUAACGACCCACCAGCAAGUCUCAUAGACGACUUCCCUGAGCAAAUUUCUGAAAAGAGUCCUUGAUAACAAUCUUCUUUGGGGUUCUCUAUAAACAUAAGAGAGAAACAAAGUUGAAAAAAAGGAGAUGCUGGGAUUUUCAUAUGGAGAGGUAUUUCUGUUGCUUGGUGCUACUGCUGCUCUUAUUGGACCUAAAGAUCUGCCAAUCAUAGCAAGAACAGUAGGCAGAUUUUCUGGGAGUGCCAUUGGUUAUGUUCAAUUGGCCCGUGGCCAGUUAGAAAGUGUCAUGCAGCAGUCCCAAGCUCGCCAGGUGCAUAAGGAACUGCAAGAUACCAUGGCUCAACUAGAAUCCAUACGUCACGAAAUUCGAACAAUCUCUUUUAUGAAUCCUGGUCCACUGACAUCAAGACUAGUGGACAACAUCAACAUUACAGCUGGGGAUAGCACAACUGCAAAUGGACCUCAAAAAUCUGAUGAAGAGAGCACAAUCGUUGAAAAUGGACCAAAAAACUCUGAUGAAGAGAUUACAAUAGUUGAAAAUAGACCUCAUCAAUCUGAAAAAGAGAGCAAAACAGUAACUGUCACACCUAAGGAGCAUAAUUCAAGGAACUCAGCUUUGUCUGAUAUGCACAGCCAAGCAGCUGCUUAUGCGAGAUUGGCAGAGAUGGCUCCUUUGAAACCUGUGUCUGUAGACAGAGAAGGUCUGAGUGAACUGAUCGAUGAAUCUGGCAGUUUUGUUGUACUUCCUGUCUCUGCUGAAAGUGCAGGAUUGUUGCCAAAAUGUAAAGAUGGAGCAAAAGGGUCUGACAUUGUCUUAGAAGCAAUACUUGAGGCAGAUGUGGCAAAGAAUGCCAAAGAAUUUUUCUCACAGCCACAAAACCAAUCAAAAAGUGAAUGAAGAGCAGUUUUUGAAAGAGAUGGUGAAUAAGCUCUGCAUGUGCAACAAAAGGGGAGCAAACCAAGAGAACAUUUUAGCUGAAGCCAGAGUAGAAGAAAUCUGCGGAGGAUACAGGAGUGGGGAGGAAGUAACUACUGCUGCGUCUUGCACUUGAUGUCUUCUACUGUGAUUAAGCUUGCAUCCUAUAAGAUCUACGUAGUUGGCAGAAAAUCCAACUUGAUAUCUGUUUAUUAUAGAAUGACUCAGUGAAAAAGUCAAGUAAAUGACAGAUAAAUGACCUAGUGGACUACCGGUGGCAUUGUUGUUUGCUAUUUUGAAGCUUGCUUCACAAUAUUGAACAUGUCUAUGCUUGUACUGGUAUUUUUUUUUAUGACAAGGGAAACCCGCAACCGCUACACUUUGGGUGCGCACAGGGUAGAACCCCUGCUCUUAUGCAAUGGCUCGCAAACCACACAAGAGAGAUAACCCGCACUAGGCAAGCCCGGUGUGACGAGCUCGACCUAGAAGGCAAACCCCUUGCUUUCGCUGGCAAGGGGUUUCGAACUUGAGACCUCCAACAUGGAAGUCCCAAGCCCAAACCACUAGGCCACCUC